rnacentral:lncRNA from 1 species
UUCCAUUUAUUUUUCAUUCUAAACCAAUAUACAGUUUAGACUUUUUUCAUUUUCUAAAUAAAGAUGGCAGGUGGGUCAAAAACAAUAUAAGUUGGGUCCAAUAGUCUAGUUUCAAAUACUAACAAAGGCCGUCCAGGCAACUAGUAUUCUGCUAGGAAGAAAUAAAUUAAAUAUAUGUCCGAAACAUGUUGGUGUUGAAAAUAAUCCUAGAGACAAGCCAGCUG